GACGUAGGGCGCGAGCGUUGUCCGGAUUUAUUGGGCGUAAAGAGCUCGUAGGCGGCUUGUUGCGUCGACUGUGAAAACCUGCGGCUCAACCGUGUGGUCUGCAGUCGAUACGGGCAGGCGUGGAGUUCGGUAGGGGAGACUGGAAUUCCUGGUGUAGCGGUGAAAUGCGCAGAUAUCAGGAGGAACACCUGCGGCGAAGGCGGGUAGCUGGGCCGACACUGACGCUGAGGCGCGAAAGCCAGGGGAGCGAACGGG
rnacentral:rRNA from 1 species